rnacentral:lncRNA from 1 species
UUCAAUUUACACUAGUUGUAUAAAGCAACUUUUUGUCUCAUAAUUUUGUGGACCCAGAAUUAUGUGAACCCAACAGUGUAAGAUUGGGGCCCACAAUUUUAUAAGAUAAAAAGGAGCCUCAUACAACUAUUAUCAAUUGUAUGAGACACAAAAUAAAACUUCUUCCCGUUCCAUAUAUAACCUCCUUUUUUCACAUUAACAAUUGUGAUUUUAAACGCC